UACGGAGGAUCCAAGCGUUAUCCGGAUUUAUUGGGUUUAAAGGGUGCGUAGGCGGCCUAUUAAGUCAGGGGUGAAAGACGGUAGCUUAACUAUCGCAGUGCCUUUGAUACUGAUAGGCUUGAAUACACUUGAGGUAGGCGGAAUGUGACAAGUAGCGGUGAAAUGCAUAGAUAUGUCACAGAACACCAAUUGCGAAGGCAGCUUACUAAAGUGAGAUUGACGCUGAGGCACGAAAGCGUGGGGAUCAAACAGG
rnacentral:rRNA from 1 species